GAGCGGGUGUAGCAAUACAUCAGCGGCAGACGGGUGAGUAACGCGCGGGAACGUACCUUUUGGUUCGGAACAACCCAGGGAAACUUGGGCUAAUACCGGAUAAGCCCUUACGGGGAAAGAUUUAUCGCCGAAAGAUCGGCCCGCGUCUGAUUAGCUAGUUGGUGAGGUAAUGGCUCACCAAGGCGACGACGGGUAGCCGGCCUGAGAGGGCGACCGGCCACACUGGGACUGAGACACGGCCCAGACUCCUACGGGAGGCAGCAGUGGGGAAUAUUGCGCAAUGGGCGAAAGCCUGACGCAGCGACGCCGCGUGGGGGAUGAAGGCCUUCGGGUUGUAAACCCCUUUCGACUGGGACGAAUGCCCGCAAGGGAGUGACGGUACCAGUAGAAGAAGCCCCGGCUAACUACGUG
rnacentral:rRNA from 1 species